rnacentral:misc_RNA from 1 species
CUGAAUGGCCCUGCCUGCGGC